rnacentral:ncRNA from 1 species
AAGGGUAGAGGCGCAAUAUUUAUCAGUAGUAAUAAUGAGUUAAGCACUGUGAUUUAUUACAAAAGGAAAUAUUGCCGAAGCAUAUAACUGAUGCUUUAAGGUUAUAUAGCUGGGGGUAUAUAUAAGAUAUAUACCACUGUCACAAAAUUAUUUUGUGGUGAGCUACAU